AGAGUUUGAUCCUGGCUCAGGAUGACCCCUGGCGGCGUGCCUAAUACAUGCAAGUCGAACGAAGAGCGAAGGAAGCUUGCUUCUUUCAAUCUUAGUGGCGAACGGGUGAGUAAUACAUAAGCAACCUGCCUUAAUGACUGGGAUAACAGAUGGAAACGUCUGCUAAUACCGGAUGAAUUAAUUGAUGGCAUCAUCGAUUAAUAAAAGUUGGGAUACAACACAUUGAGAUGGGCUUAUGGCGCAUUAGCUAGUUGGUGAGAUAAAAGCCCACCAAGGCGAUGAUGCGUAGCCGACCUGAGAGGGUGACCGGCCACACUGGGACUGAGACACGGCCCAGACUCCUACGGGAGGCAGCAGUAGGGAAUUUUCGGCAAUGGGGGAAACCCUGACCGAGCAACGCCGCGUGAGUGAAGAAGGCCUUCGGGUUGUAAAGCUCUGUUGUAAGGGAAGAACGAUAGUGAGAGGGAAUGCUCAUUAUAUGACGGUACCUUACCAGAAGGCCACGGCUGACUACGUGCCAGCAGCCGCGGUAAUACGUAGGUGGCAAGCGUUAUCCGGAAUUAUUGGGCGUAAAGGGAGCGUAGGCGGUUUAUUAAGUUUAUGGUUAAAGUUCGGGGCUCAACCCCGUGAUGCCAUAGAAACUGGUAGACUUGAGUACAGGAGAGGUUAGUGGAAUUCCAUGUGUAGCGGUAAAAUGCGUAGAUAUAUGGAGGAACACCAGUGGCGAAGGCGGCUAACUGGCCUGUAACUGACGCUGAGGCUCGAAAGCGUGGGGAGCAAAUAGGAUUAGAUACCCUAGUAGUCCACGCCGUAAACGAUGGAUACUAAGUGUUGGAAGAAUUCAGUGCUGUAGUUAACGCAAUAAGUAUCCCGCCUGGGGAGUAUGCGCGCAAGCGUAAAACUCAAAGGAAUUGACGGGGGCCCGCACAAGCGGUGGAGUAUGUGGUUUAAUUCGAAGCAACGCGAAGAACCUUACCAGGUCUUGACAUCCAAAGAAUCCUGAUGAAAGUCGGGAGUGCCUUAGGGAGCUUUGAGACAGGUGGUGCAUGGUUGUCGUCAGCUCGUGUCGUGAGAUGUUGGGUUAAGUCCCGCAACGAGCGCAACCCUUGCUAUUAGUUGCUAACAUUGAGUUGAGCACUCUAAUGGGACUGCCCGUGACAAGCGGGAGGAAGGUGGGGAUGACGUCAAAUCAUCAUGCCCUUUAUGAUCUGGGCUACACACGUGCUACAAUGGAUGGUACAGAGAGCAGCGAGACAGUGAUGUGGAGCGAAUCUCAAAAAGCCAUUCUCAGUUCGGAUUGCAGGCUGCAACUCGCCUGCAUGAAGUCGGAAUCGCUAGUAAUCGCGGAUCAGCAUGUCGCGGUGAAUGCGUUCCCGGGCCUUGUACACACCGCCCGUCAAGG
rnacentral:rRNA from 1 species